GCCUACGGGGUGCAGCAGUGAGGAAUAUUGGUCAAUGGACGAGAGUCUGAACCAGCCAAGUAGCGUGAAGGAUGACUGCCCUAUGGGUUGUAAACUUCUUUUAUAUGGGAAUAAAACAGGGUAUGCAUACCCUCUUGUAUGUACCAUAUGAAUAAGGAUCGGCUAACUCCGUGCCAGCAGCCGCGGUAAUACGGAGGAUCCGAGCGUUAUCCGUAUUUAUUGGGUUUAAAGGGAGCGUAGGCGGGUUGUUAAAUCAGUUGUGAAAGUUUGCGGCUCAACCGUAAAAUUGCAGUUGAUACUGGCAUCCUUGAGUACAGUAGAGGUAGGCGGAAUUCGUGGUGUAGCGGUGAAAUGCUUAGAUAUCACGAAGAACUCCGAUUGCGAAGGCAGCCUGCUGGACUGUAACUGACGCUGAUGCUCGAAAGUGUGGGUAUCAAACAGGAUUAGAUACCCCUGUAGUC
rnacentral:rRNA from 1 species